rnacentral:rRNA from 1 species
AUUGAACGCUGGCGGCAGGCUUAACACAUGCAAGUCGAACGGUAACAUAAGAAAAGCUUGCUUUUUUUGAUGACGAGUGGCGGACGGGUGAGUAAUGCUUGGGAAUCUGCCUUAUGGAGGGGGAUAACUACGGGAAACUGUAGCUAAUACCGCAUAAUAUCUACGGAUUAAAGUGUGGGAUCUUCGGACCACAUACCAUAAGAUGAGCCCAAGUGAGAUUAGGUAGUUGGUGAGGUAAAGGCUCACCAAGCUGACGAUCUCUAGCUGGUUUGAGAGGAUGACCAGCCACACUGGGACUGAGACACGGCCCAGACUCCUACGGGAGGCAGCAGUGGGGAAUAUUGCACAAUGGGCGCAAGCCUGAUGCAGCCAUGCCGCGUGAAUGAAGAAGGCUUUCGGGUUGUAAAGUUCUUUCAUUAGUGAGAAAGGUAUAAAUGUUAAUAGCAUUUGUAAUUGAUGUUAGCUAAAGAAGAAGCACCGGCUAACUCCGUGCCAGCAGCCGCGGUAAUACGGAGGGUGCGAGCGUUAAUCGGAAUAACUGGGCGUAAAGGGCAUGCAGGCGGUUACUUAAGUCAGAUGUGAAAGCCCCGAGCUUAACUUGGGAAUUGCAUUUGAAACUGGGUGACUAGAGUCCUCUAGGGAGGGGUAGAAUUCCACGUGUAGCGGUGAAAUGCGUAGAGAUGUGGAGGAAUACCGAAGGCGAAGGCAGCCCCUUGGAGAGAGACUGACGCUCAUAUGCGAAAGCGUGGGUAGCAAACAGG